AUGAUUCUCCGUUGUCUCACUCUGUUCCGCCGCCACUACAACUCGUCUUCUCCUCUCCGUCUUAACCGUUCAUCUCAAUUUCAGAUCGCGGAUUCUAUUCGACUCACCUCCGAUUCAGUUCGCGUGAAUCGACUUUGUAUCAUCUCUCAGUUUGUUUGCUUAAGCCUCCGUCUCAGUUUCACAGAAAGAAGAAAAAAUAUGCAUAAUGAAGAGAUUUAA